GAGCUUAUGAAAGGGGCCUAGUGUCAGUUGGUAGACAGUCAGUUGCUGACAGAUGGGGGAGGGAGGUUAGUUGCUGACUGGUCUGUCAGUUGCAGGAAGUUGACUGCUGGGUGAAAUCUGUUAUCCUUGAGGGAUGGAAGUAGACACCACGGAGGCUGGUCCAGAACCUUCAUACUAGCACACUAUGCUUCAAGGAUUUCUGGUUUGCCAUCCAAAGAAGUCUAGUCCACUAUCACUAACCUUGCAGGUGGGCUCAAACAAUGAACAUUUCUUAGUCACAGGAGGGAGAGAGAGGUUGUUGCUAACCCCACAUUCCCAGUUUCCAACCAAUCACAUUGGUUUCCCCAUUCAUGAUGGUAAAUUCUGCUUUACUAUUGAAGUCGUUAUCCCUUCCACAUCAGCAUGUCCCCACCCCACCCUUUUAUGGAAGGUGUUUACAGUAUCUUCUUAUAAAAUGUGGGUUACGUAUUUGGUCAUAGGUCGUAUGUAUGUCAAUGUUAACAUUUCUGGCCUUUGUGUCUACUUUGCUGACUUUCCCAUUCUUUUCACAAACUUUAACUUUUUACUUAUUUUAACUUUAAAAAGAAAUUGUGCGUAUUUGUGGGUAUUAAAGGAUAAAUUCUAUUGAUA